rnacentral:rRNA from 1 species
CGGACGGGUGAGUAAUGUCUGGGAAACUGCCUGAUGGAGGGGGAUAACUACUGGAAACGGUAGCUAAUACCGCAUAACGUCGCAAGACCAAAGAGGGGGACCUUCGGGCCUCUUGCCAUCGGAUGUGCCCAGAUGGGAUUAGCUAGUAGGUGGGGUAACGGCUCACCUAGGCGACGAUCCCUAGCUGGUCUGAGAGGAUGACCAGCCACACUGGAACUAAGACACGGUCCAG